rnacentral:rRNA from 1 species
GGCGAACGCUGGCGGCGUGCUUAACACAUGCAAGUCGAACGGAAAGGCCCUGCUUUUGUGGGGUGCUCGAGUGGCGAACGGGUGCGUAACACGUGAGUAACCUGCCCUUGACUUUGGGAUAACUUCAGGAAACUGGGGCUAAUACCGGAUAGGAGCUCCUGCUGCAUGGUGGGGGUUGGAAAGUUUAGGCCGUUGGGGAUGGACUCGCGGCUUAUCAGCUUGCUGGUGGGGUAGUGGCUUACCCAGGCUUUGACGGGUAGCCGGCCUGAGAGGGUGGCCGGCCACAAUGGGACUGAGGUACGGACCAGACUGCUACGGGAGGCAGCAGUGGGGAGUAUUGCACAGUGGGAGGAAGUCUGAUGCAGCAACGCCGGGUGCGGGAUGACGGCCUUCGGGUUGAGAACCGCUGUCGCCUGUGACGACGUGGGAGUGACGGUAAUGGGUAAAGAAGCACCGGCUAACUACGUG